rnacentral:rRNA from 1 species
UACGAAGGGGGCGAGCGUUAUUCGGAAUCACUGGGCGUAAAGCGUGCGUAGGCUGUUUGGCAAGUUGGAAGUGAAAGCCCGGGGCUCAACCCCGGAAUUGCUUUCAAAACUGCCAGACUCGAAUUCGGGAGAGGAUAGCGGAAUUUCCAGUGUAGUAGUGAAAUACGUAGAUAUUGGAAGGAACACCAGUGGCGUAAGCGGCUAUCUGGACCGACAUUGACGCUGAGGCACGAAAGCGUGGGGAUCAAACAGG